AUUGAACGCUGGCGGCAUGCCUUACACAUGCAAGUCGAACGGUAACGGGCCUUCGGGUGCCGACGAGUGGCGAACGGGUGAGUAAUGUAUCGGAACGUACCUUUCAGUGGGGGAUAACGUAGCGAAAGUUACGCUAAUACCGCAUAUUCUGUGAGCAGGAAAGCAGGGGAUCGCAAGACCUUGCGCUGAUUGAGCGGCCGAUAUCAGAUUAGCUAGUUGGUGAGGUAAAGGCUCACCAAGGCGACGAUCUGUAGCGGGUCUGAGAGGAUGAUCCGCCACACUGGAACUGAGCCACGGUCCAGAUUCCUACGGGAGGCAGCAGUGGUGAAUUUUGGACAAUGGGGGCAACCCUGAUCCAGCCAUGCCGCUUGAGUGAAGAAGGCCUUCGGGUUGUAAAGCUCUUUCGGCCGGGAAGAAAUCGCAUGGGUUAAUACCCUGUGCGGAUGACGGUACCGGCAUAAGAAGCACCGGCUAACUACGUGCCAGCCGCCGCGGUAA
rnacentral:rRNA from 1 species